CGAACGAACAACGCCUCCCCGUUCAACACACGUACAGCCCGGGGACGUCUCCUCCUUCUUGAUCCAGCAAGGGGGAAGGAGAAGUUUAGGGAGAGCUCCGGCAACACGACGGCAUGCUGGCGGUCGAGCUCGUGGUUGUCCGGCAGAGCUUCGCUAAGCUCAAUGGAGGAGGAUGUGUAGGGGGGUAGGGCUGCGCCAAGUGGAG
rnacentral:lncRNA from 1 species